AUGCCCUCUGUGCAGGCACGAUACCAUGAUCACGAAGAUGGUUUUCCUAGGGUAAGACUCCUCUGUUGCAAUCCGGAUGUGCUGACCCCGGGGUUUCCCCAAAUGUGGGACACUCGACUGCAUAAUUUGUGGUAGUGGGGAACAACAUUCGCACUCUCCCCUA